rnacentral:rRNA from 1 species
UACGUAAGGGGCAAGCGUUAUCCGGAUUUACUGGGUGUAAAGGGAGCGUAGACGGCUGAAUAAGUCAGAUGUGAAAACUUGGGGCUCAACCCCAAGAGUGCAUUUGAAACUAUGCAGCUAGAGUGUCGGAGAGGUAAGUGGAAUUCCUAGUGUAGCGGUGAAAUGCGUAGAUAUUAGGAGGAACACCAGUGGCGAAGGCGACUUACUGGACGAUGACUGACGUUGAGGCUCGAAAGCGUGGGGAGCAAAC